UUGACAGUGUUUUUCUUUCUUUUUGUCAAUAUAAACCAAAACAAAAUGUUGGAUAUGACAGCUGUAAAUGAUAUGUAAACAAAUUCUACAACAUAAGAAUUUCCCAAAAACAUUUAUUAUGCUCAAGACAUUAUUUUUCUGCUUAUUCAAAUAGCCACAGUUGAGAAGUUUCACCAUGUGAUGCCAUGAAUCUGUUCAUCAUUAGCUUUGGAGGUCCCUGAAUUCUAUGUUGUGUGUCUUUACCAAUAACUUCAAUACAGUUGAAUGGUCUACAUCUUAUAUCAGAGUGUAGAAGUCGCCAAAAUACAUCAGAUAUGGUCUGGUGUUCAGUACGAUAGCAGUGGCCUGAAAAGCCUACCCUGCAUUGAGCAAGAAUCACAGAGAUGGGUGGAAUGUAUCCAUAAAUUUCAUCUUUAGUCUUGUGUUCAGACCAUGAGAUGCUGAGACCACAUAGGAAACCAGAUUCUCUUGUGUUUUCUGAAUCCAUUUACCCUACUAACCCAGAUAUCACUAAUCCCUAGUCCAUGUUGAGUGAUACAUUUUUCAUUGGAGAAAAAAUUAGCAUUCACAUCCAACUGUCAAUUAUAUUUCCAACACAUUGUUAAUUGAGGGUGAUUUGGCUGCUAUAUGCAAAUGAAAUGAAAAGGUGUAAGCAAGCUGACAGCCUAAGUCCAGGUGAAAAAGGAAAACAAAAAAGUAGAGAGAUUCUUGCUGGAAGCAAAUCUUGAAUUAUUGUUAUCAAGUAUGAUUAACUUUUUACACUGAUUUGACAACAGUGUUUCAUUCACAACAGCUGUUGGAUUAGUAAAUAUUGUUUAAUCCCAUAUUAAAAGAAAUUGCUUACAACCUUAAGGAUAUCAGAUUUUCUUUUUAGAGUAAUAUAUGUAAUUAUGGGAGAGAUGAAAGCAACGAAUAAAUGACAGAACAGAAGAAGGAGAAAGGAAGAAUAGAAAGAUGAAAAGGCAUAUGAAAGCAACAAAAGGAAAGAUAGAAAUAUAAAAAUAAAAAAAACAUAGGCAAACAACAGAGGAAAAGUGAAAUAAAGAGAAAAAAAAAGGAAUAGAAAUAACUUAUCAAAUAACCAGUAAGAUGCUAAGGUAAAUUCAGUACAUUAUAACUGCUUCCUUUCAGAGUUUUUGUGUCUAACCAAAAGAUAUUUCAACAUUGAGUUUAGGAUGAUACUAGCUGCUGGACCCAGCAUUGCUCAUGUUUUCCAUGUUGAAGUUAAGCCCACCUCUGACCUUGUAUUGAAAUCUUCUACAUUCCCCGUGCCAACUGUUACCCAUUGAGAUGUUAUAUCUGGUUCGACAGGAUGAGUAGAUGUGUGGCAGGUGGUGGGAAAAUGGUCAGAGCAGGUAACGGAAUUUUGUUGACGGAGCGGAGUUCUUGCAGCCAACAACGUGUUCAGUGGUGCAGAGGACACAAAUGUAAAUAAGCAUUUCUUUAGAGACUAUUCUAUCGAUUUUGUUGAAAUUUUACAUGUGAAAAAAUGCAAAAGCUGCAGGAAAAAUAACAUCAUUAUGGGAAUUUCCAUUCAAAUGCCCAACUGAGCUCACAACAAUCGAUGCCAACUGAGCAUUAUUGAGUUUUUGAAAAAUUCCAGCCUUAUUUGAACUUCAGGGCAUGUGAUCUACCCAUGUGCCAAAAAUCAUUAAAAUCGGUUGGGCAGUGUGGGAGGAGUUAGAGUAACCUCAAACACACACAUACACACACACCAUUACACAUUUAUGUAUAUAGAUAGAGCUAGUUAAAAAGUAUGAGGUAGAUUAGAUUUGGAACAUUACAUUUCCAGUGAUUAAAUGUUGCUACAUUAGAGUUGUAUCUAUGUGUUGUUACUAGCAGAAAAUUAGUAACCAAGACAUUGCAAAUAAAUCAAUAUUGAUUCUACAAGAAGUAUUCACAUUCAAAUAUUAUGCAGCCCCUUAGUUGAGCAGAUCUAUUAUCAAAGGUGUUCCACCCAUGUCAAUCUUGUCCUUUCAUAUUUCAGGAACUAAAUUGCUAAUCGAAUGUGUCUGUCAUUUGUUAAGACAGUAUAGUGUG